UUUUGUAAUUAAAAUAUUAAUGAGGGGAAUCAGGGUAGUGAGAAAAUGUUGAAGAUACAUAUAUAUUAUGCGUGUAUGUACACACACACACACACACAUCUUUCUAAAAAGAACUUAAAAAGAACUCCAAAUAGUACCUUCUACAUGGUAACAAACAAACGAUUGAUCACCAGUAAUAAUCAAGAUUGUGGGUAGCAAACACACCCUCCAGUGUCAGGAGCUCAGUUAGUGUGUCUAACAAGCCACCUGGUUGUCCAAAAAUAUGUUUUGUGAACAUGUAGAAUAAUUUUGAAAUAGAGUAAUUAAUGAUGUAUAUUCCAUAUGACUCCAAUUCCUGCACACACAAAAAAACAUUAUUAUAAAGAUUAGAAAGAAAACUGUUUUAAAGGUUAAAGAAAUCAGUAAAAGGUGUUCAACAAAAUAUUUGUUUUCAUUUUGAGGUAGGAAGCUAUAGACUUCACAUUCUUGAUCAUAUUCUUUAGCUUCCCACAAGGAAAUAUUGACUAUUCUACAGCAUAUUUUGUAGCAUUAAUAGCAUUAUAUCUAUAGUUGAUAUGUUAAAAAUAUCAAUUUUAGUUGAUUAGUUAAAAUUCAUAAUUUAGUAAUUAUUGGUUUGAAAUAACAAAGCUUUCAUGUUAAGUUCUAUACUAUUUCACAAGCCUGUAGAAGUACGCCACCUAGUGUUUACCUUUUUUAAAUUCUAGAACCCGCAGGCUAGGUUGGUAUUAUUUUUUUAUUAUUUUAAAAUUUAUUUAUUCACUUUACAACCCCCUAUCAGCCCUUGAUCUCUCCUCAUUCCAACUUCCCCUUCUCUCUGGAGAAGCCCCUGCACAUCAAGUCACGGCAGGACUUGUCCCAUCUUCUCCCACUGAGGACAGACAAGGAAGUCCAUUUAGGGGCAGUUGAUGUUAUUUUAAACUACAAAAUGUGGUCAUGAUUUAUUCAAAUCAAUCCAGAGGUUAAAAUAAUUGUGGAACAUUGUUAUAUAUGUGCUCUAGCUUUUUGACAUCAGACUUUCCUAAAGUUGUUAUAUAUUUGAUGGAUGUUUUUCUUAUUUGAUUAUCCCAAUUCAGCAAUUCACUUAACAUGCCAACUUGUAGUAAAUAAGAAAUUAAGUUCAAGAGUUACAAGUUUUAAAGCCUUAGGAUUAAUUUGAAUAUAUGAUUAUUAGUUAAAUAAUGUGAAUAAAUCAAUACUUAUGUGUAUGUCUAACAAGGGCAGCGUCAUUUAUCCUUGGUGUGUUCAUUGAGUUUAUAAGUGUAAUUGUAUUAAUUGAGGUCCUAGUCAUUGAAUAUUGUCUGAUGAUGGAAAUUUGCAUUUUGGAUGCACAUUAGCCUGUAUUCCAGUAGGAAACAUUUUCAAAUGUUAAUACAAAUGUAAAUUUAAAACCCUUUGAUUUGAUCCCUGUGGCUUUUCAAGUAGUCUUGUGGUUUAAAUCUGGAAUAGUACCAUAGGCUCAUGUGUUUGAACACUUGGUGGCCAGUCGAUGCUGCUGCUGCUUUACAAGUUCUUGGAACCUGUAGAGGGGAGCACUUGGAACCUGGAGGAAGUGCUUGUCUUGGGGCAAGACUUGAGAUUCCAUAGACAGGAUCCCUUGCUCACCACCCUCUGCUUCAUAAUCAUUUAGGCAGUGUUACCUCAUGUUCCUGCUGGCAUGCCUUUGCUGUGAUAGACUGUAUUCAUUUCUAAAGCAUGAACAUAAAAAAAAAUU
rnacentral:lncRNA from 1 species